rnacentral:rRNA from 1 species
CAAUAGCGUAUAUUUAAGUUGUUGCAGUUAAAAAGCUCGUAGUUGGAUUUUGGGUAGGAUUUGCCGGUCCGUCUUUGAGAUGUGUACUGGUAAGUCCUAUCUUCUUGUCGGGGACCAGCUCCUGGGCUUCACUGUCCGGGACUGGGAGCCGACGAAGUUACUUUGAGUAAAUUAGAGUGUUCAAAGCAAGCUUACGCUCUGAAUAUAAUAGCAUGGGAUAACACGACAGGACUCUGGCCUAUCGUGUUGGUCUAUAGGACCAGAGUAAUGAUUAAGAGGGACAGUCGGGGGCAUUCGUAUUCCGUUGUCAGAGGUGAAAUUCUUGGAUUUACGGAAGACGAACAUCUGCGAAAGCAUUUGCCAAGGAUGUUUUCAUUGA